UAAGGAAUAUUGGUCAAUGGGCGAGAGCCUGAACCAGCCAUGCCGCGUGCAGGAAGACGGCCUUAUGGGUUGUAAACUGCUUUUAUCGGGGAAUAAACCUUUCUACGUGUAGGAAGCUGAAGGUACCCGAAGAAUAAGCAUCGGCUAACUCCGUGCCAGCAGCCGCGGUAAUACGGAGGAUGCAAGCGUUAUCCGGAUUCAUUGGGUUUAAAGGGUGCGCAGGCGGAUUGGUAAGUCAGUGGUGAAAUUCAACGGCUCAACUGUUGAUCUGCCAGUGAUACUGUCAGUCUAGAGUAUAGUUGGAGUGGGCGGAAUGUGUCAUGUAGCGGUGAAAUGCUUAGAUAUGACACAGAACACCGAUCGCGAAGGCAGCUCACUAAGCUAAAACUGACGCUCAUGCACGAAAGCGUGGGGAUCAAACA
rnacentral:rRNA from 1 species